GCGUAAUUGGUUUAGUGGUAAAAUUCUCCGUUGCCAUCAAGCACGGUUCGGGGAGCCCUGGGUUCGAUUCCCAGAUUACGCA
rnacentral:tRNA from 10 species